rnacentral:rRNA from 1 species
CCUUUACUAUAGCUUGACACUGAACAUUGAGCCUUGAUGUGUAGGAUAGGUGGGAGGCUUUGAAGCGUGGACGCCAGUCUGCGUGGAGCCAACCUUGAAAUACCACCCUUUAAUGUUUGAUGUUCUAACGUUGGCCCCUGACCGGGGUUGCGGACAGUGUCUGGUGGGUAGUUUGACUGGGGCGGUCUCCUCCCAAAGCGUAACGGAGGAGCACGAAGGUUAGCUAAUCCUGGUCGGACAUCAGGAGGUUAGUGCAAUGUCAUAAGCU